GAGAAAGAGGAGCUUAUGUUGCAAGAUAUUUUUGCUCAAGAGACUGUUUUUUUUAUUGAAGAUCCCAACAUGGUAAAGUACAUUGAACAAGAAUUGGCUAAGAAGAGGGGGAAAAAUAUUGAUGAUGCGGAGGAGGUUGAGAAUGAGUUGAAGGGAGUGGAAGAUGAGUUAUAUAGGAUACCUGAUCAUUUUAAAGUUAAGAAGCGUAGUUUCAAAGAGAGCUCGACACAGUGGACUACCGGAAUAGCAGAAGUCCAACUCCCAAUCGAAUCUGCCAAGAAGCUUUUGCAAGAGAAGAGGCUUAUAGAUGGGUCGGCCAAAAUCAGAGUUUAGUAUUUUAUUUUCCUGUUUGUGUAGUGGUUUCUUGGAGAGAUAUAUUAUUAUGAAUUUUUCUCUUUUUGAAGAUAAAGCUGGGAUCCUUAUAGUACAGGGCUAGCAUUUAGGAUAUUGGUCACUAAUUACCUUGGUUUAGAUGGCUUAAACCAUCCUCUCUGCAAGGAAAUUCGAGAAGCUGAUCGAUUCUACUGAAGUUACUCCUGCUGAGUUAGUUGAAGAGCUGAUGCAAGACGAUGACACUGACAUUGUUCUUUGUGGAGUAGUUAGUUUUGUUGAGAAGAGGAAGGUCGAGCGAAGCAAAACCAAGGAGCUGGAGGAUAUGUGUAAAGUAAUUGAUGAUGACUACGUAGUUGAUGAUGACGAAAUACACAAUGGUUCUAGGAAUGGUUCGAAUAAGAAGAAAGGGAAAGGAAAAGGCAGAGGGAAAGGGAAAGGAAAAGGAAAUUAAGACUGAGACUUAAUCCUUCCUCUUUAUGUGUCAUUGUGGUUUUUGCUUAAUUUUGCUUUUACAACUCUGUCCUGAAGUGGUAGCUACGUUUUGUAUCUAUGUCUGUCCAAUUUGUAUAUGAUUUUCUGACAGGGACCUUAAGGAAAUUGGUUUGCUCUAUUGGACUGUACGAGGAUCAACUUCACAUUACAAAAGUUACUUCUUAAUUAUACGGAGAAGCUUUCAGAUUCUUCUUUGGGGAAUAAUAUAGAUGAAGCGAGAGAGAACUGAUGUAGAUUCCAUCAGUGAUCUUGACAUCAGAUGCAGACUGAUCAGCGGAAGAGUUACUUAUCCUGAAAGCCGCAUGUUACUGUCUCAGGCACUAGCCAUUUUUCAAUGUUGUCUCGUGCUCUUCCUGUUUCUUGGUUUUCAAAGUUGAGCGGUUC